CGCGUGAGUGAAGAAGGGUUUCGGCUCGUAAAGCUCUGUUGUUGGAGAAGAACGUUCGAGGUAGUAACUGGUCUUUAUUUGACGGUAUUCAACCAGAAAGUCACGGCUAACUACGUGCCAGCAGCCGCGGUAAUACGUAGGUGGCAAGCGUUGUCCGGAUUUAUUGGGCGUAAAG
rnacentral:rRNA from 1 species